AAAAUAGCGAUGAUAAAGAUAUAGUAGAAAGCUUGUGCUUUUUAAGAGAGCCGGUGGUUGCUGAAAACCGGUAAAGUGCAGCUUAUCGAAUUGGAACUUUGGAGCUUUUCCUUUGGAAACGGCGCUCACCGUUACGAGUAGUGAUUUCUGUUACAGAAAUAAGUCGGGUGGUACCACGCUUAUGCGUCCCAACA
rnacentral:ncRNA from 1 species